UACGUAGGGUGCGAGCGUUAAUCGGAAUUACUGGGCGUAAAGCGUGCGCAGGCGGCGCGUUAAGACAGGUGUGAAAGCCCCGAGCUUAACUUGGGAAUUGCGCUUGUGACUGGCGUGCUGGAGUGUGGCAGAGGGAGGUGGAAUUCACGUGUAGCAGUGAAAUGCGUAGAGAUGAUGGAGGAACACCGAUGGCGAAGGCAGCCUCCUGGCAGCACUGACGCUCAGUCGCACGAAAGCGUGGG
rnacentral:rRNA from 1 species